rnacentral:rRNA from 1 species
AACGAACGCUGGCGGCAUGCCUAACACAUGCAAGUCGAACGAGAUCUUCGGGUCUAUUGGCGCACGGGUGCGUAACGCGUGGGAAUCUGCCCUUUGGUUCAGAAUAACAGUUGCAAACGACUGCUAAUAGCGGAUGAUGACGAAAGUCCAAAGAUUUAUCACGCGAGGAUGAGCCCGCGUAGGAUUAGCUAGGUGGUGUGGUGAAGGCGCCCCAAGGCGACUAGCCUUAGCUGGUCUGGGAGGAUGAUCAGCCACACUGGGACUGAGACACGGUCCAGACUCCUACGCGAGGCAGCAGUGGGGAAUAUUGGACAAUGGGCGAAAGCCUGAUCCAGCAACGCCGCGUGAGUGAUGAAGGCCUUAGGGUUGUAAAGCUCUUUUACCCGGGAUGAUAAUGACAGUACCGGGAGAAUAAGCUCCGGCUAACUCCGUGCCAGCCGCCGCGGUAA